rnacentral:rRNA from 1 species
UGGGGAAUUUUGCGCAAUGGGCGAAAGCCUGACGCAGCAACGCCGCGUGGGUGAUGAAGGUCUUCGGAUCGUAAAACCCUGUCGUCAGGGACGAAGGUCGGGGGGUGAACAGCCCCUUGGCUUGACGGUACCUGGAGAGGAAGCCCCGGCUAACUCUGUGCCAGCAGCCGCGGUAAUACAGAGGGGGCAAGCGUUAUUCGGAAUUAUUGGGCGUAAAGGGCGCGUAGGCGGUGUCUUAAGUGGGAUGUGCAAUCCCCGGGCUUAACCUGGGAACUGCAUCCCAGACUGGGACGCUGGAGUACUGGAGAGGGUGGUGGAAUUCCACGUGUAGCGGUGAAAUGCGUAGAAAUGUGGAGGAACACCAGUGGCGAAGGCGGCCACCUGGACAGUAACUGACGCUGAGGCGCGAAAGUGUGGGUAGCAAACA